rnacentral:rRNA from 1 species
UACGUAGGGUGCAGGCGUUAAUCGGAAUUACUGGGCGUAAAGCGUGCGCAGGCGGUCUUUUAAGUCAGAUGUGAAAUCCCCGGGCUUAACCUGGGAACUGCGUUUGAAACUGAAAGGCUAGAGUGUGGCAGAGGGGGGUGGAAUUCCACGUGUAACAGUGAAAUGCGUAGAGAUGUGGAGGAACACCGAUGGCGAAGGCAGCCCCCUGGGCUAACACUGACGCUCAUGCACGAAAGCGUGGGGAGCAAACAGG